rnacentral:tRNA from 1 species
UGGUAUAGCCCAGUGGAAGAGCAUUUGCCUAAAACACAUGAAGCCCUGAAUUCAAUUCCCAGUAUGCAA